rnacentral:rRNA from 1 species
UACGUAGAGUGCAAGCGUUGUCCGGAAUUAUUGGGUCGGUAAAGGUACGUAGGCGGAUAGUAAAGUCAAGCGUGAAAGGUGUCGGCUUAACCGACAGACUGCGUUUGUAAACUAGAUUAUCUUGUAGUGUAACAGAGGAGAGUGGAAUUCCUAGUGUAGUGGUGAAAUACGUAGAUAUUAGGAAGAACACCAGUGGCGAAGGCGACUCUCUGGGUUAACACUGACGCUGAGGUACGAAAGCUGGGGGAGCGAACGGGAUUAGAUACCCGGGUAGU